rnacentral:rRNA from 1 species
CCUACGGGAGGCAGCAGUGAGGAAUAUUGGUCAAUGGACGAGAGUCUGAACCAGCCAAGUAGCGUGAAGGAUGACUGCCCUAUGGGUUGUAAACUUCUUUUAUAUGGGAAUAAAACAGGGUAUGCAUACCCUCUUGUAUGUACCAUAUGAAUAAGGAUCGGCUAACUCCGUGCCAGCAGCCGCGGUAAUACGGAGGAUCCGAGCGUUAUCCGGAUUUAUUGGGUUUAAAGGGAGCGUAGGUGGAUUGUUAAGUCAGUUGUGAAAUUUUGCGGCUCAACCGUAGAAGUGCCGUUGAAACUGGCCGUCUUGAGUGCAGUAGAGGUGGGCGGAAUGCGUGGUGUAGCGGUGAAAUGCUUAGAUAUCACGCAGAACUCCGAUUGCGAAGGCAGCUCACUGGACUGCAACUGACACUGAUGCUCGAAAGUGUGGGUAUCAAACAGGAUUAGAUACCCCAGUAGUC